AGUCCUGUUGAUCCUGCAGGAGGUUGCUGCUAUUGGGAUACGGUUUAGCCAUGCAAGUCAGGGGUUCGCAAGAACACCGGCGUAAGGCUCAGUAACACGUUGAUAAUCUGCCCUUAGGUUCAGGAUAAGGUCGGGAAACUGACUUUAAAACUGGAUAGAGAAUUGAUACUGGAACGUACUUUUCUUGAAAAGCAAUGCCUAAGGAUGAGUCAGUGGCUGAUUAGGUUGUUGGUGAGGUAAUGGCUCACCAAGCCAAAGAUCAGUAGGGGGGAUGAGAGUCCUAGCCCCGAGAAGGGCACUGAGAUACUGGCCCUAGCUCUAAGGAGUGCAGCAGGCGCGAAAACUUUACAAUGCGCGAAAGCGUGAUAAGGGUAUCCCAAGUGCUUUACUUAUGUAAGGCUUUUGCCAAGUGUAAGUAGCUUGGCGAAUAAGUGGUGGGCAAGACCGGUGCCAGCCGCCGCGGUAACACCGGCGCCACGAGUGGUGACCAUUUUUAUUGGGUCUAAAGCGUCCGUAGCAGGUUCUGUAAAUCUUUUGUGAAAUUGUUGCGCUUAACGUAACAGCGUGCAAGAGAGACUGCAAAACUAGGAACCGGGAGGGGACAGAGGUAUUUUGUGGGGAGCGGUAAAAUGCUAUAAUCCACGAAGGACCACCUGUGGCGUAGGCGUCUGUCUAGAACGGGUUCGACUGUGAGGGACGAAGGCUGAGGGAGCGAUCGGGAUUAGAUAUAAACAAAUUUUUGUUUACUAAAUACCCCAGUAGUCUCAGCAGUAAACGCUGCGAGCUAUGUGUUGCAUGUUCUUUGGGAACAUGCAGUGCCUAAGCGAAGGUGUUAAGCUCGCCACCUGGGAAGUACGGCCGCAAGACUGAAACUUAAAGGAAUUGGCGGGGGCUCACUACAAGGGGUGCGGCGUGCGGUUUAAUUGGAUUCUACGCCGGAAAUCUCACCAGGAACGACAGGCAGAAUGAAGGUCAGAUUGAAGGUCUUACCUAACAAGCCGAGAGGAGGUGCAUGGCCGUCGUCAGUUCGUGUCGUGAGAUGUCAUGUUAAGUCAUGCAACGAACAAGACCCAUAUCUAUAUUUGCUAACGCCUCUGUAAGAGGAGCGAGCACAAUAUAGAGACUGCCUUGGAAACAAGGAGGAAGGUGUGGGC
rnacentral:rRNA from 1 species